rnacentral:sRNA from 1 species
AAAAGAACUUUGGAGAGAGAGUUAAAAGCACGUGAAGCCGUUGAAAGGGAAACGCGCUCGGCUAGCAAUGCGCGUCUGUGAUUCAGCCGGCUAGUCUUGCCGAGUUGCCGUGUGGCGGAUCCGAAUGGACUGUCGGCGGCGGCGGCGGCGGUGGGCGAGCUAUGGUGCACUUCAUGGGCGCGCGCGUCAGCGUCGGUUCUCGACGGACGACGAGGUGCGUGGGAAAGGUAGCUCGGUCUUCGGACGGAGUGUUAUAGGCCCGUGCGCUGGGUUCGUCGUGGGACCGAGGAGAGAGAGAGAGAGAGACGAUCGCUGCGGCACCUGCCUCUCGGGGCUAGCCAGCUGCCGUCAGGUGUGCGCCAGGCGCCGAGGACUGCACGCAGUGCUUGGUGUUGAGGCGUGAUCCGGUGGCGGUGUGGGCAUAGA